rnacentral:snRNA from 1 species
GUACUUGCUUUGGCAGUACAUAUACUAAAAUUGGAACGAUACAGAGAAGAUUAGCAUUAGGAUGACACGCAAGGCUUGCCAUACCAGU